rnacentral:ncRNA from 1 species
UUAAAUACUGUGAUAAGAAAUAGUAACAUAAAUGUAAACCUAAAAGAGAGAUCUCCUUGGCUGAAAGAGAUUAGGUCUAAGUUUAUGUGAAUGCAUCUUUGAGUACUGCUUCGAAAUGUAAAAAUAGUAGACGGCAGCGGGUACGCCCGAUUAAAGCGUUAAGGUAUUUUGUACCGAAGUAAAUGAGUUGUCAUGUUGCUUUAAUGUGAUAAUUAGAGUGGAACCGCAAAAAAAACUUUUGCCUCUAUA